rnacentral:rRNA from 1 species
GACGAACGCUGGCGGCGUGCUUAACACAUGCAAGUCGAGCGGAGCGGCGAACGGGUGAGUAACGCGUGAGUAACUGCCCCCCCCUCUGGGCUAGAAGUUGGAAACGGCUACUAAUACCGGAUAGUGGGGGGGGACUCGCGUCCUAUCAGCUUGUGGGUGGGGUAGUGGACUACCAAGGAGACGGCGGGUAGCCGGCCUGAGAGGGCGACAGGCCAACGGGGGCUGAGAGACGGCCCAAAAGCCUACGUGAGGCAGCAGGGGGGAAUAUUGCACAAUGGGGGAAACCCUGAUGCAGCAACGCGCGUGCGUGAUGACGGCCUUCGGGUUGUAAACCGAUUUCAGCUAUGACGCGGUAGUGGCAGAAGAAGCACAGGCUAACUACGUGCCAGCCGCCGCGGUAAUAC